rnacentral:tRNA from 1 species
AAGACCUGUAGGAUCCUAUCCCACAUCUCCUGAAUGCAACUCAGAUACUUUUAUUAAGCUAAGACCU